GACGAACGCUGGCGGCGUGCUUAAUACAUGCAAGUCUAAGGGGUGUGCUCCCUUCGGGGAGUACGUCACUGGCGCACGGGUGAGUAACACGUAAGUUAUCUGCCUCUGGGACGGGCAUAACACCGGGAAACCGGUGCUAAUUCCCGAUGACAUCGAAAGAUCAAAGCCUUCGGGGCGCCCGGAGAUGAGCUUGCGUCCGAUCAGCUAGUUGGCGGGGUAACGGCCCACCAAGGCGACGANCGGUAGCCGGUCUGAGAGGAUGAUCGGCCACAUUGGGACUGAGACACGGCCCAGGCUCCUACGGGAGGCAGCAGUGGGGAAUCUUGGACAAUGGGCGCAAGCCUGAUCCAGCCAUGCCGCGUGGGUG
rnacentral:rRNA from 1 species